rnacentral:rRNA from 1 species
AGGACGAACGCUGGCGGCGUGCUUAACACAUGCAAGUCGAGCGGAAAGGCCCUUCGGGGUACUCGAGCGGCGAACGGGUGAGUAACACGUGAGUAAUCUGCCCCUAGCUCUGGGAUAGCUCCGGGAAAACCGGGAUUAAUACCGGAUACGACCACUUUAGACAUCUGUUGUGGUGGAAAGAAUUUUGGCUAGGGAUGAGCUCGCGGCCUAUCAGCUUGUUGGUGGGGUAACGGCCUACCAAGGCGACGACGGGUAGCCGGCCUGAGAGGGCGACCGGCCACACUGGGACUGAGACACGGCCCAGACUCCUACGGGAGGCAGCAGUGGGGAAUAUUGCGCAAUGGGCGAAAGCCUGACGCAGCGACGCCGCGUGGGGGAUGAAGGCCUUCGGGUUGUAAACCCCUUUCAGCAGGGACGAAGCGAAAGUGACGGUACCUGCAGAAGAAGCGCCGGCUAACUACGUGCCAGCAGCCGC